AUUGAACGCUGGCGGCAGGCUUAACACAUGCAAGUCGAGCGGAGAGAGGUAGCUUGCUACUGAUCUUAGCGGCGGACGGGUGAGUAAUGCUUAGGAAUCUGCCUAUUAGUGGGGGACAACAUUUCGAAAGGAAUGCUAAUACCGCAUACGUCCUACGGGAGAAAGCAGGGGAUCUUCGGACCUUGCGCUAAUAGAUGAGCCUAAGUCGGAUUAGCUAGUUGGUGGGGUAAAGGCCUACCAAGGCGACGAUCUGUAGCGGGUCUGAGAGGAUGAUCGGCCACACUGGGACGGAGACACGGCCCAGACUCCUACGGGAGGCAGCAGUGGGGAAUAUUGGACAAUGGGCGCAAGCCUGAUCCAGCCAUGCCGCGUGUGUGAAGAAGGCCUUAUAGUUGUAAAGCACUUUAAGCGAGGAGGAGGCUACUUUAGUUAAUACCUAGAGAUAGUGGACGUUACUCGCAGAAUAAGCACCGGCUAACUCUGUGCCAGCCGCCGCGGUAAGAC
rnacentral:rRNA from 1 species